CCUACGGGUGGCAGCAGUGAGGAAUAUUGGUCAAUGGACGAGAGUCUGAACCAGCCAAGUAGCGUGAAGGAGGACUGCCCAGUGUGUUGUAAACCUCUUUUAUAUGGGAAUAAAAUGUUCCACGUGUGGGAGGUUGUAUGUACCAUAUGAAUAAGGAUCGGCUAACUCCGUGCCAGCAGCCGCGGUAAUACGGAGGAUCCGAGCGUUAUCCGGAUUUAUUGGGUUUAAAGGGUGCGUAGGUGGAUUGUUAAGUCAGUGGUGAAAGGUUGGGGCUCAACCGCAAAAUGGCAGUUGAAACUGGCAGUCUCGAGUACAGUAGAGGUGGGCGGAAUGCGUGGUGUAGCGGUGAAAUGCUUAGAUAUCACGCAGAACUCCGAUUGCGAAGGCAGCUCACUGGCCUGACACUGACACUGAGGCACGAAAGUGUGGGUAUCAAACAGGAUUAGAUACCCCUGUAGUC
rnacentral:rRNA from 1 species